rnacentral:rRNA from 1 species
UACAGGGGGGACAAGUGUUACUCAUCAUGACUGGGCGUAAAGGGCAUCUAGGCGGUCCGGUUAAACGUUUUUUGUUAAAUCUUUCGAGUGGUUCGAAGGGAACAUUUUAUACAUCCGGACUUGAGUCUGUUAAACGACUGCUGAACUCUUAAUGUAAAGGUGGAAUUUCCUGAUAUUAAGGGGACAACCAAAGGCGAAGGCAGCUGUCGGAGGCGUGACUGACGCUGAUAUGCGAAGGCGUGGGGAUCAAAUGGG